GCAAAAAGCAAAAAAGCCCUACCUCAAAACCCAAAUUUUUUCUAAAUCUCAACCUAGAUAUGAACAUUUCAGCUGAAACCUAAACCCUAGACAGGCACAAAUGUUCAAUUCUUCAUAGAAAAUUUACAAAAAUUUAAAGAAUGACAAACUCAGCAAAACAAAAUCCAAACAUAUCCAAAAUUAGCAAGAGAAAUACAAACCCAAAAGCAAAUCAGCCUCUCACACGAAGCAAACACAGCAGCAGCCAUGGACGCCCAUGGCCCUUUCAUCUCAGGAGG
rnacentral:lncRNA from 1 species